rnacentral:lncRNA from 1 species
CCGCGCGCCGCUGACCGUUGCCCGCCAACGGCUCCGGCAGCGCCGCCGCCGGGAGAGGGGGCGCCGGGCCGCCCUGGGCCCGCGCAGCCUGCGCGGGGCGCCGAUCCCCGAACCGGCCUAGCCCGCGGGCACGGGCUCCCCGCGUCCCCCCGGGGAUGCAACUCCCUCCCGGCCCUGGGACCCCGGCUGGGGGAACCGGCGCGACGGUGCGGGGCUCUCAGCGGUCCCCGCUGCAACUGUGCCCCCUCCUGCCGCCCGGACCCCCGCCCCCCUCGGAUCAGGGGCGGCUGCACCCAGCGCCGCGGAACUGCCGCCGGCGAACCCAGCGCCGGCCGCGGCGCAGCGCCUCCGCCUCGCCUCGCCUCACCUCACGGCGUGGCCGGUGCCCUGCGGAGCCCAGCGCAGCACAAGCCCGGCCUGAGCCCAACCCUCCGGGAAGUUUCCUGCCAUCGCGGCGGCCGGGGAAAACAACAGCUUCAAAGCCAGGAGCCGGAGCAAGAGGAAGGGCAGCGCGAGCAGAAAAGUGAGGGGCAUCGCUCGCCCGCCGCGCCGCUGCCGUCGGCGGCCGACCCCCGCGGAGGGCAGCCCGCUCAGCGCCGCCUCCCCAUUCGCUUCGGCGGCGGCCCCGCCGCACCGGCAGCGCCGCGGAACCGCCGGGCCGAGGAGCAGGCAGGCGAGCCGCCGCCUCCCGCCUGCCGGCAGCCUCCCCGGGCCGCCCGUCCCGCUCGCCGCAGCGCCGCCGAACCCCGCCCGCGCCCCCGCCCGCCCGCGCGGCGGCUCCGCCUCCCGGGGGCGCGCGCAGGCUCCGGCCGAGCGGCUCCUGCGGCCCCCGGCGGCAGCGGGCGCUCCCGGGGGGCGGCCGCGGAGCCCGGCGCCCCGCACCGGCGGCCGGAGGGGCGGCGGAGGGCGGCUCGGCUGCGCUGCGACCCGCCACCCGUUCCUCGGCGCCAAGUGUCGCGCAGGCUGUGCCUGCAGAGUUGGAGACGCCUCGUUAAGAUGCAGGUAGAAGAGAUGCGGAAGGCAGGGCGAGCAAGUGCGAAGGAGCCCCCAGCCUCCCGCCAGGCAGGGACGUCAGCGUGCUAACAGGUCACUACAUCAGAUCACAACUGCUCGCAGAAAUUGGAACAUGAAAGAAUAAGGAAGGUUCUCAUUCUCCCAAAUGGAUCUCUUGAGCAUGAAGCUGAUGGGAUACCAGCAAAAUGUCAGCAGCUACAUCCACUGAUACUGCUUUGACUUUUGAGAAGUUCAGCUCUUGAUUGAGUUCAGCUGCCCUGCACCCACAGAGCUAUGGUUGAGAACCAUAAGGCAAAUCCAGAAAGGAAGCAAUCCUUUCUGGCUGCUUUAAAAAUGCUCGACCAAGUAAAAUUUCAUCUUUAUUCUUACAUUUUCCUUAACAAGUGGGUGUGAGCACAUUUUUUGUGGAAAUUUCCUAGCAGAGGAAAAUAGAUGUUACAUUCUACUGCUCAUUUCGAGUAGAAAGCUCAAAAUGUGGGCUCUGUUUGUUUUCUGGGAUGCACUCUGAACUCCUCCCAUCUGAAAUAAGCAUAACUAACCAGUGAGAAACUACCCCACUGGGGCUUCUGAUUUGUUUUGGUGUGGUUGGAUAAAGUCUUUAAAGGCUUUUUCUAGCAUAGGGGAGGCAUGAUAUAUUAAUUCAAUUUGAAAAUCCUCAGAUAUUAUCACUGCACUCCAUCUUGUGGAAGAGGCAACAAUACAUUUUAAAAUGAUCCUGUAGUGGGUUUUUUGAGUAAUUAAACCUAACAAUGUCUGGUUCUUACUGCCAUAGCAAGGAACUACAUAUAGCAGUGGAUACCUUCUUGUAAUACCUUGUUUAAUUCUCAAUCUGCCUAAUUGCACGCAAUGGAUUUAUGUAAAUAUGCCUUGGUUUUAGGUAUGGGCUUCACAUCUCCUUCUUUGCUUUGGAAAGGAGCUUUAGGAAAGCAUUUGAAAAGUGGAAUUUGAAAAGAGAAACUAAAGCAUCCGUGGCUCCAGUUGCCACGGAGCACCCCAGAUUUGGGAGAGUCAUAAACUGGAAGAAGCAGCCAGAUGGUGUGUAGGGAUGGUGAUCUGUGGGAGUAUGUGGCUGGGGUAAAAACUCUGCUAAGCAGGAUUGCUCUGUAGGAACUGACUGGUUUGUUUUGUUUGUGGGGUGUUUGGGUUUUUUUUUUUACCCCUAUUAUAAGUACAAUAAUUUAACUGUAUCUGGAACACUGUAGUAAGUAUCACUACCUGUCUUGCCAAAAAAUCCCAAACAAUGAGGUUCUGUCUGCCCUCCUGAAACUGCUUUUUGUGGUUUGUGACCUUUUUCCCCUUUAUAUUCAGUGCUGCUUUGGGAAAUCAGGAUAGGUAUUGGCAUGACAACUAUGCACCAUAGCAAAGGCAUAUUCAUACAUAUUUGUGUCUGGCCAGGUGCAGAGAAAAUUGACAAACUUACCUGGAUUCACAGCUAUACAAGGGUUAACCUUGUAAUAGUUGCCCUAGGACAAGCUUGAAGAUAAAGCCAUU